rnacentral:tRNA from 1 species
GCUCAGUUGGUUAAGCAUCGGACUCCUGAUUUCAGCUCAGGUCAUGAUCUCAUGGUUCAUGGGUUUGAACCCCACACUGGGCU